rnacentral:rRNA from 1 species
UACGUAGGGUGCAAGCGUUAAUCGGAAUUACUGGGCGUAAAGCGUGCGCAGGCGGUUAUGUAAGACAGAUGUGAAAUGCCCGGGCUUAACCUGGGAACUGCAUUUGUGACUGCAUGGCUAGAAUCUGGCAGAGGGGGGUAGAAUUCCACGUGUAGCAGUGAAAUGCGUAGAGAUCCGGAGGAACACCAAAGGCGAAGGCAGUGUCCUGGGGAGUACCUGACGCUCAGGUGCGAAAGCCAGGGGAGCGAACGGG